rnacentral:tRNA from 1 species
GGGUGAGUAGCUCAGUUGGUUAGAGCGCACGGUUCACAUCCGUGAGGUCCAGAGUUCGAGUCUCUGCUCGCCCACAA